UACGGGGGGGGCAAGCGUUGUUCGGAAUUACUGGGCGUAAAGGGCUCGUAGGCGGCCAACUAAGUCGGACGUGAAAUCCCUCGGCUUAACCGGGGAACUGCGCUUGAUACUGGAUGGCUUGAGAUUGGGAGAGGGAUGCGGAAUUCCAGGUGUAGCGGUGAAAUGCGUAGAUAUCUGGAGGAACACCGGUGGCGAAGGCGGCAUCCUGGACCAACACUGACGCUGAGGAGCGAAAGCCAGGGGAGCAAACGGG
rnacentral:rRNA from 1 species